rnacentral:rRNA from 1 species
AGAGCGAACGCUGGCGGCAGGCUUAACACAUGCAAGUCGAGCGGGCGUAGCAAUACGUCAGCGGCAGACGGGUGAGUAACGCGUGGGAACGUACCUUUUGGUUCGGAACAACACAGGGAAACUUGUGCUAAUACCGGAUAAGCCCUUACGGGGAAAGAUUUAUCGCCGAAAGAUCGGCCCGCGUCUGAUUAGCUAGUUGGUGGGGUAAUGGCCCACCAAGGCGACGAUCGGUAGCUGGUCUGAGAGGACGACCAGCCACACUGGAACUGAGACACGGUCCAGACUCCUACGGGAGGCAGCAGUGGGGAAUAUUGGACAAUGGGGGCAACCCUGAUCCAGCCAUGCCGCGUGGGUGAAGAAGGCCUUCGGGUUGUAAAGCCCUUUGUACCGGGAAGAAAAGCUUGGGGUUAAUAACCUUGAGUCAUGACGGUACCGUAAGAAUAAGCACCGGCUAACUUCGUGCCAGCAGCCGC